AUCCCCUCACAUGGGCCUAUCCCAAAUGUUCUUGCAGUGAUCUGUACAUAUUCCAGAUGAACAAUAAAUAAUCUCUAAAGAUUCUCACAAGGAAAUUGAAUUGUAAACCCCAAAAUAAAUAGCUGGAUGUUUUUUGACAACAUUUAUUUUGUUACAGCAAUAUAAAUUAUAUGUUCUCUAUAUUUCCAUUUAAGUGAGUGUAAAAUUACAGGAAGACUUGGCUAAACAACAAUUACAGCCUUCCACAGUGAUGAUUCAAACUUUUAUGAAGGUUCUUUCCAGGCAGCCAAGGAGACGGCUACAAUAACAGAAUCUGGCAUAAAGCUGGGCAGAGAAUGAAAAGAAUGAUAAGUUGCCGCCUGGGCUCUCUGGCAGUGGCUCACCUCUCUUCACUGUGCACACACAUGAACGUGUUAAAUGUACUGAAGGUUCACAUGUAUUGGGAGAAGAGGAAAGAUAGCUGUCAACUAAACACACCUUUGUCCAACAGCUAAUGAAGCUGUAUGAGCCUGUGUUUGUGAUACACGUCUCUGCUCAGCUCCAGCGCUGCCUCCCUGGAAUUGUCAAAUGUGAAGCUGCUGCUUUUAGCUAAUUGUUGGAUGUUUACAAUCCUGAAUGCAAAUGUUUUCAUCAGAUAUGCGCGACUGUUUUCUAAGAAAUUCCAGUCCCUUGGGAACAGAACACUCUGCUUGUCAUAAGAAAAUAUACACUUACAAGAAGAGUGUCAAACCUCUGCCUCAGGGUGUGAUGCGAAGAGUGUAUUCAUCUACCAUGGGUGUAUAUCUGUCUAGUAUUCGGUUCAGCACUGAUAUCAUACACAGAACCUCAUAAACCUCUGUGAAUAAGACUGUCAAGGUUACAAAAUAUCUUUACAAUUUACCUUUCUACACUUGACAAACUAAAGCUAUUGAACAGAAGAGAUGUUGUGAUGAGGAUAAUGACUUCCCCUUCCCGCCCAAAAAUAAAA